rnacentral:tRNA from 1 species
UUUUUUUUAGUUUAUUAUAAAAAACAUUUACAUUUCAAGUAAAAAAAAACAUUUUGUUAAAUAUUA